rnacentral:rRNA from 1 species
AACCCUCGUCCUUAGUUGCCAUCAUUAAGUUGGGCACUUUAAGGAAACUGCCGGUGGAUAAGCCGGAGGAAGGUGGGGAUGACGUCAAGUCCUCAUGGCCCUUACAGGCUGGGCUACACACGUGCUACAAUGGCAUCUACAGUGGGCAGCUAUCCCGCAAGGGUGCGCUAAUCUCCAAAAGAUGUCUCAGUUCGGAUUGUCCUCUGCAACUCGAGGGCAUGAAGGCGGAAUCGCUAGUAAUCGCGGAUCAGCAUGCCGCGGUGAAUACGUUCCCAGGCCUU